rnacentral:rRNA from 1 species
UACGUAGGGGGCAAGCGUUGUCCGGAUUUACUGGGCGUAAAGGGCGCGUAGGCGGCCAGCACAAGUCAGUUGUGAAAUCUCCGAGCUUAACUCGGAAAGGUCAACUGAUACUGUGCGGCUAGAGUGCAGAAGGGGCAACUGGAAUUCUUGGUGUAGCGGUGAAAUGCGUAGAUAUCAAGAGGAACACCUGCGGCGAAGGCGGGUUGCUGGGCUGACACUGACGCUGAGGCGCGAAAGCUAGGGGAGCGAACGGG